rnacentral:rRNA from 1 species
CCCUUAGAGUUUGAUCCUGGCUCAGGACGAACGCUGGCGGCGCGCCUAACACAUGCAAGUCGAACGAGAGAUGAGGAGCUUGCUCUUCAAAUCGAGUGGCGAACGGGUGAGUAACGCGUGAGGAACCUGCCUCAAAGAGGGGGACAACAGUUGGAAACGACUGCUAAUACCGCAUAAGCCCACGGCUCGGCAUCGAGCAGAGGGAAAAGGAGCGAUCCGCUUUGAGAUGGCCUCGCGUCCGAUUAGCUAGUUGGUGAGGUAACGGCCCACCAAGGCAACGAUCGGUAGCCGGACUGAGAGGUUGAACGGCCACAUUGGGACUGAGACACGGCCCAGACUCCUACGGGAGGCAGCAGUGGGGAAUAUUGCACAAUGGGGGAAACCCUGAUGCAGCGACGCCGCGUGGAGGAAGAAGGUCUUCGGAUUGUAAACUCCUGUUGUUGAGGAAGAUAAUGACGGUACUCAACAAGGAAGGACGGCUACUCUG